CACAGGAUGAAACACAGGACUGGCUGCUUUUCACAUUCCCUCUGCUAAUGUGCAAGUGAGACAUGCAUAGUUGAGAUUCCAUCCACCCCAGCCAGCUUUCCUGAGCCUUGGGAAACUGGCUCACCAUGAAUCCUAGCUUCUGUUGUCUCUUGCUGCCUAUCUUGUCAUAAAGAAGAAUAUUUGAAGCUCUACAAAUAUGUUGCUUUACAUGACAAAAGGACUGUGCAGAUAUGAGUGCAUUAAGGAUCUUGAGAUAGAAAUAUUAUCCUGGAUUAUCUGGGUGGGCACAAUGUAAUCACGAGAGGCUUUCUAAGAAGGAAGAAGGAAGGUCUGAGACAGAAAAACAGGAAGAAGCUGUAACGUUGGCUUUGAAGAUAAAAGAUAGGGACACAGGUCAAGGAAUGCAGGUAGUCUCUAGAAGCUCGAAAAGUCAAAGAAAUGAAUUCUCCCCUAGAGUCUGAAGAAGGAACACAGCUCUGCCAGCGUCUUGAUUUUAGGAUUUCUGACCUCCAAACUGACAGAGUUGCACUCUGUUGGCCAGUGUGGAGUGUAGUGGUGCAGUCACUACUCACUGUGGUCUUAACCUCCCGGAUUCAAGCCAUCCUCCCACCUCAGACUCUCUUGCUCUGUUGCUCAGACUGGAGUACAGUGUUGUGA
ensembl:lncRNA